rfam:Oryzias latipes DNA, chromosome16, strain: Hd-rR.
ACAGAUUGGCACAGUGGGAGUGUCUCUGUCCUUGAAGCAGGAGAGUGCAGGUUCAAAUCCUGGCUAGUUGUA